rnacentral:rRNA from 1 species
GGUGAACGCUGGCGGCGUGCUCAAGACAUGCAAGUCGAACGGCAGUCUUCGGACUGUAGUGGCGCACGGGUGAGUAACGCGUAACUGACCUACCCCAAAGUCGCGGAUAACGAUUCGAAAGAAUCGCUAAUACGUGAUGUGCUGUCAGAUUGUGUUCUGCCAGUAAAGAUUGAUUGCUUUGGGAUGGGGUUGCGUUCCAUCAGCUAGUUGGUGGGGUAACGGCCCACCAAGGCGACGACGGAUAGCCGGCCUGAGAGGGUGGCCGGCCACAGGGGCACUGAGUCACGGGUCCCACACCUACGGGAGGCAGCAGUUAGGAAGCUUCCACAAUGGGCGAAAGCCUGAUGGAGCGACGCCGCGUGAGGGAUGAAGGUCUUCGGAUCGUAAACCUCUGAAUCAGGGACGAAAGACACUUCGGUGGGAUGACGGUACCUGAGUAAUAGCACCGGCUAACUCCGUGCCAGCCGCCGCCGUAAGAC